UCUCAAUUAUAUUAAACCCAAAGAAAUCCAGUGCAGAGGUAAGUUUUGAGCUUUGUAUUCCCUCAUUUCUUUCCAUUAUUCAUCCCACAAGUAUUGAGAAACCAAUAUGGCAGCUCUCUUCCAUUACUUCGAUCAGAGGGGUACUAGUAGCAAAUCCAGCAACUACACCUUUCAAUUUCAGUAACACAAAUCAAAGGCUUCGUGACCAGGGGGAUUAGCGCUGCUUUCCCAAGACAGAUUUAUAUGUGAUUAUGAUCUUCAGGCUUUGCCUAACCAGGUUGGCUGGCCGGUGCUGACGGGACGGAGCUGAGGCUAGCGAUAAAUUCCUAUGUUAGACUUCCGCUGUAGCAAUUACUCAUAUCAGUCUUUUUGUUUUCCCAACUUAAGAUCUUCAUGUUAAAUUUCAAAUAAUAUAUUUGACCGAGCUUAGACUUUUCACUACUAAAUUUAUGCCAAUGAAUGUCGGUUGUCAGGAGCAUGAAACAAAACUUGUGAUCCAAAGGGGCAUAGCCCGACUUUCUAUCCUAUUUCGGGUUUUUACAAGGUUGUUCCUUGUUUAUUUCUAUGAAUUAGUUGCAC